CCUACGGGCGGCAGCAGUGAGGAAUAUUGGUCAAUGGCCGGAAGGCUGAACCAGCCAAGCCGCGUGAAGGACGAAGGUGCCAAGCAUUGUAAACUUCUUUUGUCAAGGGACAAAAUCAGGCUCGAGAGCCUGACCGAGGGUACUUGAAGAAAAAGCAUCGGCAAACUCCGUUCCAGCAGCCGCGGUAAUACGGAGGAUGCGAGCGUUAUACGGAUUGAUGGGGUUUAAGGGGUGGGUAGGCGGGCUGUUAAGUCAGCGGUAAAAUCCCGGGGCUAAACCCCGGCGAGCCGUUGAAACUGGCUGUCUUGAGAGGGCGAGAGGUAUGCGGAAUGCGAAGUGUAGCGGUGAAAUGCUUAGAUAUUGCGCAGAACUCCGAGUGCGAAGGCAGCAUACCGGCGGCGAACUGACGCUGAGGCACGAAAGCGUGGGUAUCGAACAGGAUUAGAUACCCGGGUAGUC
rnacentral:rRNA from 1 species